GAUCCUGGCUCAGGAUGAACGCUGGCGGCAUGCCUAAUACAUGCAAGUCGAACGAGAGGAAGGAAAGCUUGCUUUUCUGAAUCUAGUGGCGAACGGGUGAGUAACACGUAGGUAACCUGCCCAUGUGCCCGGGAUAACUUCUGGAAACGGAUGCUAAAACCGGAUAGGUAGCAGACAAGCAUUUGACCGCUAUUAAAGUGGCUAAGGCCAUGAACAUGGAUGGACCUGCGGUGCAUUAG
rnacentral:rRNA from 1 species